rnacentral:rRNA from 1 species
ACAUGCAAGUCGAGCGGUAGAGAGAAGCUUGCUUCUCUUGAGAGCGGCGGACGGGUGAGUAAUGCCUAGGAAUCUGCCUGGUAGUGGGGGAUAACGUCCGGAAACGGACGCUAAUACCGCAUACGUCCUACGGGAGAAAGCAGGGGACCUUCGGGCCUUGCGCUAUCAGAUGAGCCUAGGUCGGAUUAGCUAGUUGGUGGGGUAAUGGCUCACCAAGGCGACGAUCCGUAACGGUCUGAGAGGAUGAUCAGUCACACUGGAACUGAGACACGGUCCAGACUCNUACGGGAGGCAGCAGUGGGGAAUAUUGGACAAUGGGCGAAAGCCUGAUCCAGCCAUGCCGCGUGUGUGAAGAAGGUCUUCGGAUUGUAAAGCACUUUAAGUUGGGAGGAAGGGCAGUAAAUUAAUACUUUGCUGUUUUGACGUUACCGACAGAAUAAGCACCGGCUAACUCUGUGCCAGCAGCCGCGGUAAUACAGAGGGUGCAGCGUUAAUCGGAAUUACUGGGCGUAAAGCGCGCGUAGGUGGUUCGUUAAGUUGGAUGUGAAAUCCCCGGGCUCAACCUGGGAACUGCAUUCAAAACUGACGAGCUAGAGUAUGGUAGAGGGUGGUGGAAUUUCCUGUGUAGCGGUGAAAUGCGUAGAUAUAGGAAGGAACACCAGUGGCGAAGGCGACCACCUGGACUGAUACUGACACUGAGGUGCGAAAG